GGGCGGUUAGCUCAGCUGGCCAGAGCACUUCCUUCACACGGAAGGGGUCAUACGUUCAAGUCGUAUACCGCCCACCA
rnacentral:tRNA from 1 species